GACGAACGCUGGCGGCGCGCUUAACACAUGCAAGUCGAGCGAAGCGGCGGACUGGUGAGUAACACGUGAGUAACCUGCCUUAGACAUUGGGAUAGCCUCGGGAAACCGGGAUUAAUACCAAAUGGUCUAAGAUGGACUCGCGUCCCAUUAGCAAGGUGGUGAGGUAACGGCCCACCAAGGCGACGAUGGGUAGCCGGCCUGAGAGGGUGAACGGCGACAUUGGAAAUGAGGAACGGUCCAAACUCUACGGGGGGCAGCAGUGGGGAAUAUUGCAAAAUGGAGGGAACUCUGAUGGAGGGACGCCGCGUGAACGAAGAAGGCUUUCGAGUCGUAAAGUUCUUUUAUAUGGGAAGCGGUACCAUAAGAAAAAGCCCCGGCUAACUACGUGCCAGCAGCCGCGGUAAUAC
rnacentral:rRNA from 1 species